UUGGUCCCAAGAUGGGCCUCAGGCUCUUCUUUGUGCUCUCCAGUCUCUUGUGUUCAAAACAUAUGGAGGCAACAGUCACCCAAAGCCCAAGAAACAAGGUGGCAGUAACAGGAGGAAAGGUGACAUUGAGCUGCGAUCAGACUAAUAACCACAACAAUAUGUACUGGUAUCGGCAGGACAUGGGGCUUGGACUGAGGCUGAUCCAUUAUUCAUAUGGUGCUGACAACACUGAGAAAGGAGAUAUCCCUGAUGGGUACAAGGCCUCCAGACCAAGCCAAAAGGAAUUCUCCCUCAUUCUGGAGUUGGCUUCCCCGUCUCAGACAUCAGUGUACUUCUGUGCCAGCAGUGAUGCACAGUGAUGUGUGGUUUCCUCCCCCUCUGCACAGAAAGGAAAUAAGCAGAACAAAGUGCCUGUGUGCCUAAGAAAGUCCCUGUCUCUCUAAGAGUCACUGAGCUCUGACAAACCAGGAACCUUAUAACAUAGGUCUCAGCCUGACUAGAGGCCACUCUAACACCUUUUCAUAGGUGCUUGCCUCAUCUCUGAAUUUUUUUUUUCAGAGAGUAAAAUCACUCUUGAGUUGGAGUUCAUGAUGACCCCUUUAGUGAUCUUACAGCCACUAUGUCUAUACCUGUGGCCUUCAGUGACCUCUUCAACCCCUUUCUGACAACUGAGUUAAUUAUGUGAUGUCUUUUCUGGCUAUAUUAAAUAGUAGGU